AUGCUGCCUUACACCAGAGAAAACAUUUUCUCCAGCACAGAUCUGCUGAAAAGCAAUUCAGAAAAUCUUCCCGGGCCGAUGUUUGCUGCCCAGGCUGUCAGGAGACCUUCAGACCUCCCAACAAAGCGGAGCAGGAGAGCCAGGAAGGUGCUGUACCCAGCCCACGCCAGAAAACAUUUGCCGCGUCAGGAGAAAGACCCAGCGAAGCGGUGGCUGCUGCUGUGCGCCGGCAUCGUGCUGGCGCAGGUGCUGCUGGAGGCUCCCGAGCGGGACGGGCAGAGCCGCGGGGCUCCCGAGCGGGACGGGCAGAGCCGCGGGGAGCGGCAGCGGCUCGGAACCGCUCCGGGGAGCGCCCGGCGGCCGCGGCAGCGCCGCGGGGAACCGGAGACACCCGCACCUCCCGUUGGUGCGGCGCUGCCGGGCGGAGCCCGCGGGGACAGCUCGGGGCUGGCUGCGCGGAGCUGCGCUGGCCCUGCCCUGUCCUGCGCUGGCCCCGUCCCUGUCCCUGUCCCUGUCCCUGUCCCUGUCCCUGUCCCUGUCCCUGUCCCUGUCCCUGUCCCUGUCCCUGUCCCUGUCCCUGUCCCUGUCCCUGUCCCUGUCCCUGUCCCUGUCCCUGUCCCUGUCCCUGUCCCUGUCCCUGUCCCUGUCCCUGUCCCUGUCCCUGUCCCUGUCCCUGUCCCUGUCCCUGUCCCUGUCCCUGUCCCUGUCCCUGUCCCUGUCCCUGUCCCUGUCCCUGUCCCUGUCCCUGUCCCUGUCCCUGUCCCUGUCCCUGUCCCUGUCCCUGUCCCUGUCCCUAUCAUCCCACUGGGAGAUGCUCCAGCCAGGGGAGGAGCCAAGCCUUUCCUAUCCAGAGAAAAACUGAGAUUUGGAACACCAGAGCAGCCUUUUCCACUGGAUUCCAGAGGAAAACUGGACCUUUCCACAUCAUCCCUGGACCUUCCCCCCCCCCCCCCCCCCCCCCCCCCCCCCCCCCCCCCCCCCCCCCCCCCCCCCCCCCCCCCCCCCCCCCCCCCCCCCCCCCCCCCCCCCCCCCCC
rnacentral:lncRNA from 1 species